rnacentral:rRNA from 1 species
UACAGAGGGUGCAAGCGUUAAUCGGAAUUACUGGGCGUAAAGCGUGUGUAGGUGGUUUGCUAAGUCAGGUGUGAAAUCCCCGGGCUCAACCCUGGGAACUGCAUUUGAUACUGGCAGGCUAGAGUGUGGUAGAGGAUGGUGGAAUUCCCGGUGUAGAGGUGAAAUUCGUAGAUAUCGGGAGGAACACCUGUGGCGAAGGCGGCCACCUGGACAACAACUGACGCUGAGACGCGAAAGCGUGGGUAGCAAACAGG